ACGUGGGUGAUCUGCCCUGCACUUUGGGAUAAGCCUGGGAAACUGGGUCUAAUACCGAAUAGGACCGCGCUCUUCAUGGGGUGGGUGGAAAGCUUUUGCGGUGUGGGAUGGGCCCGCGGCCUAUCAGCUUGUUGGUGGGGUAAUGGCCUACCAAGGCGACGACGGGUAGCCGGCCUGAGAGGGUGACCGGCCACACUGGGACUGAGAUACGGCCCAGACUCCUACGGGAGGCAGCAGUGGGGAAUAUUGCACAAUGGGCGCAAGCCUGAUGCAGCGACGCCGCGUGAGGGAUGACGGCCUUCGGGUUGUAAACCUCUUUCAGUACCGACGAAGCGCAAGUGACGGUAGGUACAGAAGAAGGACCGGCCAACUACGUGCCAGCAGCCGCGGUAAUACGUAGGGUCCGAGCGUUGUCCGGAAUUACUGGGCGUAAAGAGCUCGUAGGUGGUUUGUC
rnacentral:rRNA from 1 species